UCAUUUUAAUUUUUUUAACGACUGUGCCAUUGACCUACCAGACGCUGCCAUUAGUUUCUUCAUUCUUCUACAGUCGUGUAACCAUAUCAAUCUUGGUUGCUCUCUCAAUUUGGAUCUCCGCCGUGAAUCCCACUCUCAGCUCUCCCAUAUCAAUAUAGUCGACGAACAGGUCGCUAGGUAGGAAAAAGAAGAGGAUAGAUCCAAGAUUGUGGUCAACUUCUGGAGGAAGGUUGAAAAAGAGUGAGAGCGUUUCUCAGUUCGUGUACAGGGGCGGGGACUUGGAUUGGAAACAAAGAAAAGGGUUUUGCUUCUGAAGAAUAGUAAGCAGCAUUAUAUAUUAGCAUAUAGAGAACUUGGACAAUAACGUACUUCGACUUCAGCUGUUACUUGGUGUCAAGCUCUGGGUAUGGUCACAAUCUGAACUGUUCAAAGGUGCAAUCAUUCAUCUUUGAGGAUUCUAUCUCAACCUGGUCGUCUUCUUUACAAUUGAGGUUUAUCUGUAAAAAUUUGCUGAUUGAGCAAAACCCACAUCAUUUUCACUUCUGCGUUUAAUUUCUAAAUAGCUGAUGUUCUUGAAUGCAGCCAUAUAUAUCAUAAAGAACCAAGAGAGAGAGGUGGAAAGUUGUUACUCAAAACAAAACAAAUAGAAGAUAUCAAGUGCUCAACAAACCAAGAGAGGCCAACACCUUAUGAAAUGAAUAUCUAAAAGCAUCAAAAGACCAUUCUACCUACAACCACUCUUUAGCUCGAGACCGAAACGCAAGACACACUUAAAGAAUAGUUUAUCCCUUUCUCGCCACUGAAAAUCUGAUCCAACUGUAAAUAUUAGUACUCAAUUGAUUGAGUUGUAUCUAAGCAGACCAUUCUACUUGGUGUGGAGAUAGUGCAGUAGCUUCUCAUAUCUUUCUACAACUGCAGCAAUUGGAUGUUCACUGAUACACAGAUUUAGAAACUUGACAUAUUGGGCUCCAAGGAGCCGAACUAUAAUCUACAUCAAUGUUCAAUCAGAUUGGUGGAACUUAGGAAUAACGUCUAUGUCGCUUGAGAAGGGAUCACAUUGGAAGUUUCAGACUUUGUUUAUGUUUCUUAGUAUUGAAUGCAAUUUUAGGAUGUUUCAUUGAUGUUCGGGCUAUUUAGUUGAUGGGCUGGAUGUUUCAACUUAAAAUCACAUCAACCAUAUACCAUCUUUGGUUUUAGUGUGUAGUAAAGCAGAACAUGAUAUUUUGAUAUCUGUUUGCUUGCAUUGUGAUGUGGGUAUCUGUCUUGCCUUGGAUUGAAUUUUUUUGGUCAUAAUUCUAGCUCUGAAAUCUUAGAAUACUGAGUGACUACAUUUUGUAUCCAGUAAUAUUCAAAUGUAAUAUACGUGAUUAUUCAAAAUUA